UUUUCUUUCAUGACAUCUCUGUAGUUAACAGCAAUCAACCAACAAUCUAAUACUAUCUUGCAAGAAGAUACGGGAACCUACCGGCAAGUCUGACAAUCGAAUAAACGAUCAAAGAAAAAAGAACAAAAUAAGUCUCGUGAUUACCUGAUUUUACUACCAAAAUGUUCAGUAAAGGAUAACGUAAACGUGCAUUAAUUAAACAAUAUUAAUCACAAUGUAUAAACAGUAAUACAAUAGUAAUGAAAAACUGACGCCAUCAAAAGGUUAGGUUACGCUACAAAUCUGACUCGAAGAAAUACGUCUAAUCGCGAC
rnacentral:misc_RNA from 1 species